rnacentral:rRNA from 1 species
UACGAGGGGGGCAAGCGUUGUUCGGAAUUAUUGGGCGUAAAGGGCGCGUAGGCGGUGCGGUAAGUCUGAUGUGAAAUCUCCGGGCUCAACUCGGAGUCUGCAUCAGAAACUGCCGUGCUCGAGUGUGGGAGAGGUGAGUGGAAUUCCCAGUGUAGAGGUGAAAUUCGUAGAUAUUGGGAAGAACACCGGUGGCGAAGGCGGCUCACUGGCUCAUUUCUGACGCUCAGGCGCGACAGCGUGGGGAUCAAACAGG